rnacentral:misc_RNA from 1 species
GUUUGGGAGACUGACCAUAAUAGAGCAUAGAAAUAACUUUCUCAAUAAUCUUUCGAUUUCCAUCAUAGUCUAUCAAACAUGCUUUUUGGGUGUACUUCAAUUGAAACAAUCAAUUACUUCAAAUAUUUAAAUUAAUAAAUUAUUUUGAAUCUCGGUGUCCCAUACUAAUAUCAGUUUGCAUUAUCACUUCAAGAUUAGAAAUAUUUUAAGAUUCCCAUUCUUUGUUCUUAAGUUUUUCAUGAUAUCCUGUUUCCAGUGGCAAAGGAUUUAACUGGGC